UAUAGGAGACGACAGAUCGCAGCGUUAUUGUCGAACGACAUCUCGCCCACUUUGAACUCUGGAUUUACCGCGACCUGAAAACGUUCUCACGAUACGUAAUUAUGUGUGCUGUUAAUUCUACGGACUGGCAUUGUAUAUAAGGAAGUAAUACAUUAAUGAGGAUAUAAAGCAAGGAGCUUUACGGAGGUAAAACUUUUAUACCUUGAAGACGUAUUCACCAGGCAGUAGUUCGGAAAUGUCCACCCACUGGCAAUCGAUAUUGUGUUUGUAUAUGUCGCUACAAUUGACGGAGAUGCCUUGGUCACCGUAAUUGGCGCAUUUGUACCUGAAAUCGUAGCGUGCUCGCUUUAAUUGGCUCGCCAAUUAGACGCGUCACAAGCACGAAAAAUCAUUGCGAUUCCGGCAUCACUUAGCGUGUACAUACACGCGCCGUCGGCCGAGAAAGCAAGCAAACGGAUCGUUUUGCUAACGAGACUAAUUACGUUUA